UAUGCCUUGAAUGGUUUCAAAGCACACAAUUCCUUCCAGCAAAAAAACAAACUUUUCCCUUGUAACUAAUGUCUGAACCAAGCAGCUGGCGGACAUCAUUACUUGAGUUCUCGCUGAAACCCCGCGGUUCUAAGGCUGUUUUUCGUUGCAAUUAGACGUGACUGCGAUGGAAAGAUUUCAGAUGCUCUCUUUCACCUGCAGUUGUUGGACCACCAGCUGUGAGGUUUUACAGCCUGUUUAAUAUUUCAGUGUCCGCUGGCUCUCCAGUGACUGCAAAUCUACUAAUCUAGAGUACCUGGAUACAUCUUUAAAGAGCACCUGCUGCUUCUUUCAGUUCUGCAGAAACCCAGGCUGUCAGCAACAGCAAGGAUACCGCGACAGCUGGAGGAACGCAGGAAGCACUUGGAUGUUUGCGGGAAACAGGGCUGUAAAAUAAUUCCAGCUGCCUCACAGUCCAGCCGAACGCUGAGACCGCUGCUGACAUCUAAUCAGAUAAGGAUCCCACGCUACAGUUUAAUCUGAAAUAGACAGACAGACGCUCAGAAUAACUUUGGAAUCACAUGUGUUUCAAUGUCAAGGCAUCACAGUAUGCGCACUUCUGGGAUAAGAGUCCGGUCAAUCCUAUCAGUCAAUCAGAUGGCAACAAAAAUAUUACAGGGAGAAUGGAGUUCAUUUCUGAAUCAAACCUGCAAAAAGACCCGUGUUAUCGUAUAGCAAGGUGGGAGGCAUACUGUAAUUGGGUAAUAACAUCAUUCAUAUCUGCUUGUUCACUCAACACCCAGCAACAUUUUUACAUUACACAUGAUUCCCAGCUUUGAAAACAACCUUUCCCCAGGAGAGAUAUUCAUUUGAAGUUUAGUCUGUGGACCUUAGAAAUAACAAACUAGUGUUAUCCCCCCUUUCCUGGAAGUAGGCAGAACUGGUCUGGCUGUGAUUAGCCUGAAGGUCGCACAGGGAGUCCCCGUCCCCCCA